ACGAUAGCCAAAUCGGGCGAAGAACUCGCCGUUUAUGGCAAAUUUAAAUCCAGUAUCCGUUAUUCCGAUGGCCAGUUUGAAUUGUUCAUCGACAUGAAAUGGAAAGUUUCCGUACCGCUCUUCCAGGCCGAAGCUAAAAUUUUCAUUCAUAGCAUUUCGGAUAACCACAAAAUUUGGCUCAAAUCUGGGAUUGAAGUGUAACGUGUGCCGUUUUGUAGCGCCUUCUGUAAAAUAUAACACAAAUGUGCCUCGGGGAUUUCCUGUCGGUAUGCCAGUUAUGACAAUCACGUGACCUAUAAAAUCGUUAGACAGGAAUUUAGUAACAAGAUUUUUCCGUUGUUAAUCUGGCCAAACCUGGCGAAAAUCGUCGUGGUGCAUCAUUACUGAAUGUAACAGUCCUAAGAUCCUGUUGGAUGGGUGGUAUCGGCUGUGGAUAAGCAGCUCGAUGAUCUAUUUGAUUAACCGAAAGGAUAUCUCUGGUCACUUCAAUCGUACGAAUCAACUGAUUCGACAUGCGAUAGUUAUACACGCAAUAUGGCUGAUCAUUGAUCGCAAUAUGGAAUUGAGUUUCUCCAACGAAGAUAUAGAUUUUGAAGUUGUCACCUGAAAGUCCGGUCUGGCUUUAAUAAAUUUGUGAUGUCUGGAAACGCCUGAGGAUCAAUUACCUGCUACAACCGGAUUCGGAAUCGUAAAUUCAUUCAAAUUCUGUUCUCGCUCUUCACCGUCCCAUCCGCUCGGGGUCCAUGAGUUGCGUACAAUUACGUCCUCGUAGAAUCGACACGACAAGUGUAAUGCUAUAUGAGCAUUUUCACUCUUUCCACUCUUCAAAUUGAUGUCUAAACUGUCGAAUGAGCCGGGUGAUUAAAUUCAGUUGUGAAUGAUAGUCCUUUUAAAUACCGUGACGCUCCGGCUAUCGUUUUUCCAGCAACUACGAAUAGUUGAGCUGGCUCCACUGGACCAAAAACGUUGCCAAUGAAUUGGGAUAUCAUUUCACUAUUUUGUCAGCCAGCGGUUUUGAUUGUGUCCAAGUUUCUGUUCAGUCUAUGAUCAAAUUAUGUCAUUUUGUUGUUACUCAUUGCUUUACAAAAGCUUAGCGUCAACUAAUUCCAAUAAAAUUGUGUUUCGGUUCUUUGCCAUUCAGUGUGGGUCGCCAAUUUAUU